rnacentral:tRNA from 1 species
GGGCCCGUAGCUCAGUUUGGUAGAGCACCUCACUUUUAAUGAGGUUGUCGUGCGUUCGAGCCGCACCGGGCUCA